GCAUGGCCUGCCAACAACCCGGCACUGCUGUGGGGGCUGGGGAUCCCAUGAACAGAGGACAGCCCCAGCUCUCGUGGAGUUGACACUCAGGGCGAGGAACUAGCUGUGGAAUAAAUCAAACAGCAGCCGCUCCCUCCACUCCCUCGGGAAGGUUAUGCACAGAAACAUAGACAGAAAAGCAAUGAAACCACCAAGUUUUAGAGGCACUCUGGUGCUGCUGUAGGGAAUGGUGCGGUGUAGGGAGCAGGACAGAGAAGGCUUUCUAGAAAUAAUGACUCUUCAGUUGACACUGAAGCAAAUGAUGAAUAAGAGUUAAAGGACAGGCAAAGUGGAGGAGGGCAUGCAGAGGAGAAGGAUGCUAUGAAGUGAGAGCUUGGCUUGCACAGGUAGCUGGCCACGAGUUUAGCAGGGUGCCAGAUAAAGAGACAAGGCCAGAUCAUGAAGAACGUUGUCCCUUGUGCUUACAAUUUUGGACGUCAGAGACUCCUUGCAACGGAAUCAGUCGGAUCACCUAAGGGAAUAGACAAAACAAUGAAUCACGGGGGUAUUGUCCUAGUCAUCAAAGAAAAAUAAUAGAUUAUGAAUGGCAUGCUUUAUCCUUGAGGGUGCUUUCUCGAACUGCCAUACCCAGAUGUGAAGGAAAUAGAUGGCUACCACAAACCUCUAAAGGCAGGACCACAAGGGAUCAUACCCUUCAGGUUGCCUCAUUGAGCAAAUCACCCCAACCAACUGAUAUGCUAACUGAAGUCACAGGGAACUACGGAAUGGGCCAGGAAGGAAACUUCAAUACCAGCUACAGUAAAGAGGACUGUCGCACUUACUGUUUGUUUGUUUUGCUUGCUGCUAGUGUUUAAUACUCUUGCACGCCAAGCCAUUUCUUUGCCUUUUUAAAAAGGAAUGCUAUAAUACAUAAAUUUCCCUUCUUUUUUGUCCUUUUGCCAGCAAAAGGCCUAUGUUGCAAUAUAUGGAGAUAGGAUUAUAGCAGAAAAUGAGGAAUGGCUAUCGUAGAAAUUCUGUACUGAAAGGACAGAACGUCAACUCUAAGUGAAGUAAAAUGUCACGGCCUUGGGUUUUCUCCCAUUGAGAAGGUUAAUACGUGAAAUUACCUUUUGUGAUGGUACAUGAAAUAACUGAAUCGCACAGUCGCAAGGAAUGGCUGUGGAAGAAGGAAGCCCUUUUAUGGGUCACAUAUGCACAAGUGACCAUGUCCUAGUGUGACCAGCUACUCUGGUUUGCUAAAGGCUGUGGGGGUACCAGGAUGCUGGACUUUUCAGUGCUUAAACUGGGAUCGUUUUGGGAAAAACUGAGACAAGUUGGUUGCGCUACCACGACCCCUGUCUACGUAACAGAUUAAUUCAGACAAGGGCAUAUCCUAAACCAGACUAUUUAGACUCUUUGCCCCAGAAAUUUUAAAUGAGGCAGAAACACAAAGAGAAUAUAGUUACUCAUUAGAACUGAGUCAUACAAAUGGCAGUUCCCUAUAGAAAAGAUCUAUUAACACCCUUUGCCGAAGACCCAGGACCUGCCCGGUUUCCUUUGGUUACAGGAGAUAUCCCUGUGUAAUUCCAAAACUUUUUCUUUUUGGCUAGUCAAAGACGAUUGCUGCUGCUUGCAACCAAAUAAUCUUAAGGAGUGUAUUUAUGUCCAAUCCCUGUUAAAGGUAAUGUGCUCCAAGAGCCCCUUCUGAAUGGGCACUGAGCUUAAUGAACCAUACUCAUUGCCACAGCAAACAAGACCAGGUAUGAACACUGAACUCAAACAGGCCUAGAAAGUCUCACAUGAAUGGAUUUUGCAAUGCACUUACAGGACUCCACUCUUGCAUGCUUAAUUAAAAUGUUGUCUAAACCUAGAAUUAGAUUAGGCAUGAGUAAGUUGUUCAAAACUGAGGAGAGCAACAGGAAUGAUGAAAAGGAAAUCAGGAUAAGGAGAGAAAGCUGGAAAAAGAAGACUUAUCUGAGAGGUGAUCAUCUUAGUUCCCUUAUUUUCAGUUUUUGAUUCCCCAGUCCCUUAUGAGAUCCAGCUAAAUGUUUUGCCCUUAAGUUCUAUGAAAAUUCUGUGUUAUUCCAGUAAAUCCCCCAUUUUGCUAGGAAUCAUUUUAAUAGGUUUCCCCUCCUAGCAAUCAAACCCCAAGACAUCGAUCGCAAGACACAAGGUUGCCUGCUCAUUCGAUAGCAUCUGCCAGAGCUCUGAAGCCACUUUCUCUCCUCAGUUUCAAGAAGAGGAGAAGGAUUUGCAUACCUCCAUGGCUGUCUGGUCCAUUCAGGGAAACUCUCACAAUUACCAUGGGUUUGAUGACUUUACUAUUAAAAUCACACAGGUGGGGAGAAUCAUGCAAUCGGAGUGUAAAGCUGCAAGGAGACUUUGGUAGCCAUGCAUGUCAACGGAGGAAGGAACUAAAUGUCCUUCCAGCUAGGCAGAGUGAUUUUCCUAAAGCCAAAUAGCUCAGUAGUCCCAGAGACGGGACUGGUUGAAAAUCUCCUCUCUCCCAGUCCUCAUCUUCCCAGUUAACUAACUGACCUUUGAGUGUAGAAAGAGUGCAACACCUAAGGAAACUACUGUGAAAUCCUUAAAAGUGCACUAUUCAGUCUCCUCUCACUCAGCUCCUGGUCUUUGGAGUUUACCCACGUAAAUGGCAUCAGCCUGACUGCAGAACUCUGAGAGCUAUUCAGAAUCCAUUUGUGAGUGCCCGUAGAUCAUGGACAAGCUAAUCUGAAUCCGGAGAGAAAACUUUAAGGAAAGUUGUCCUGCUUUUUUUUUUCCAUACUCACCAACUGGCUCAGACAGGUAGAUGGGUUAAUUAACAGAGCGAAUAAGGUAGUUAUUCAUAAAGUUUAUUUACACAUUCUACGUUCCCUUUAGUUCAGACAUGGGUAUUUGUCGUUUCCUAAUUUUCUUUUUACCACCAACAUAAACAUCGAUAUCAUUAGCAGUUGUAUCUAAAACUAUAUCAUACUUUAUAAUUUAGUGCCAAUUUACUAAAUUACUACUAAAUCCUGUAAUAUAGAAAUUUGUGGCAAAAUCAACUAGUCUAUAUUUGGGAGUAAUCAUAAUAGCAUACUCCCUGCUAUAUCAACCAUGUGGUGUAAACUUGCAUUAACUACAGAUUAUAAGUUGAGUGAUAAAUAAGGUCAGCCAAGGAUCUCCAAUUAAUAAUUCCUAACUCAUCUGCCCCUUAUUAAAGGCAAGAUAUUUUCUAUAAAUAUCUUAACAUCUCUUAAAGUGAAAAGUUAAUUACUAAAUUUAUAGUGCCAUUUCCUUCCUAAUGAUGUACAAGUCUUACUCACCAUCAUCAUCUCCAGAAAUUUGGUACUGUUGCCCAGGCUGGAGUGCAGUGGUGCUAUCUGGGCUCACUGCAAUCUCAACUUCCUGUGCUCAAGCCGUCCUCCCAUCUCAGCCUCCCAAGUAACUGGGACUACAGACAUGCACCACCAUGCCUGGCAAAUUCAUAUAUAUAUAUAUAUAUAUAUAUAUAUAUGUAUAUGUAUAUGUAUAUGUAUAUGUAUGUGUAUAUAUAUAUAUAUAUAUAUAUAUAUGUAUUUUUUAAGAGAUGGGGGGUCUCCUUAUGUUGCCCAGGCUAGUCUUAAACUCUUGGGGUCAAGCGAUCCUCUUGCCCCAGCCUCCCAAAGUGUUGGGAUUACAGGUGUGAGCCACCACACCCGACCCAGAAAUUUUUAAUCUUAUCAAAAGGAUACUUUGUAUUCAUUAAGCAGUAAUUACCCAUUUCCUUCUUCCCUCGGGAUUUUGAUCUAAUUUUAUGUUUGUAUAUCCUACAAAAAUAUUUUUAGCACUGAUUCAUAUCUUCUUGAGGUGAAUAAAUUUCUAAUUGAAAUAAUAUUGUGCCUUAUUUAGCUCUUUUCUCCUGUAGAAUCCAAAUAAAACAUAUGAUUUCCACAGGGAUGCAUUUCUGCUUCAGACCUCCUUAAGAGCUAAACCAGUGGAAAUUCCAUGUGUAAAAGAAAGGUAACAGGGAGACUUGGUGUGAUACUAAAAAUUUGGGUGGAUGUGUAAGGAUUUUUAUAGAAGGUAAUACAUUUGAACUCCAGUCCUGCUUGUUUCUCUGCAAAAGCAAUGCGCGUUCCACGUUUGGUUGGUGCACAAGCCUCAUUUUGUUUUCUUCCCAGGAAAAUCAAAACUAAGCAGAGAUACUCCUGCUGGAGAAAGCUUCACCUGCUAAAUUCCACAGCGACUAAUAAAACAAGCCUUUGUUUUUCAGUAAAAAUUUCACUCCAUGGUUGGUAACUAAAAUAGACUCACAGCUCUAAUCCUCACUUGGAAAUCUCACCAGUAGCCCCUCUCUACGUGGGAGAGAGAUCAAGAAUAUCAAAAAAGACACCAUAUUAUUCUUAUUAGCUUUAUUAGCCUGUUGCCCAAAAGAAUGUUCUUAUUCUUCUUCAACUAAGCAACGGCUCAUCCACCUGGUCAUUUAACAAGCAUUCUGGGAGUGUCUACUGUUCUAGACUCUGGGGAUACAUUGGUGAACAAAAGAGACAACGGGCUGGGUGCGGUGGCUCACGCCUGUAAUCCCAGCGCUUUGGGAGGUUGAGGCCAGCGGAUCACAAGGUCAGCAGUUCAAAACCGGCCUGACCAACAUGAUGAAACCCAGUCUCUACUAAAAAUACAAAAAUUAGCCAGGCGUGGUGGUGUGCGCCUGUAAUCCCAGCUACUCAGGAGGCUGAGGCAGAAGAAUUGCUUGAACUCAGGAGGCGGAGGUUGCAGUGAGCGGAGAUUGCACCACUGCACUCCAGCCUGGGCAACAGAACGAGACUCUGUCUCAAAAGGAAAAAAAAGAGAGAUAACAAUUCUUGCUGUGAUGGUUAAUUUUAGGUAUCAACUUGAUUAAGAAAUACCUAGAGAGCUGGUAAAGCAUUUUUUAAGGUGUGUCUGUGAAGGUGUUUCCGUUAGUAUACUGAGUGGUGAGGAUCCACCCUCAACAUAUGCAGGCACCGUCCAAUCCUCUGGGGGCCUAGAGAGACGCAAAAAGGCAGAGCAAAGGUGAGUUCACUCUCUCUUCCGAAGCUGGGAUACCCUUGUUUUCCUGCCCUGGAACAUCAGAACCCCAAGUUCUCUGGCCUUUAGAGAGAAUGCUGAGAUUUGCACCAGCAGCUCCCUGGGUUCUCAGGCCUUUGGCCUCAGAUUGAGAGGCCAUUGACUUCACUGGUUCUAAGAGUUUCAGAUUUGGACCCAGCCACACUACCUGCAUCCCUGGGUCUCUUGCCUUUUCAGUUAUCUGUCACUCACUUUGCUAAUUCCCAAUACUGAAUUCACUCUGUUACGAUAAUUAAUGUGGUUUCUUUUUGUUGAUACCAGGAGCUAGAAGGUAAUCUACCUGAAGUCACAAAUUUUUGUCUCUUACUCCAAGCAGUUAGAAUGAAAUCUAGCAUACAAAAGAGCUCAAUAAAGAUUUGUUGACUAAAUAGUGAACAAAUGUCAUAUCUGCUCACUGGCAAAGUAAAUUCAGACAGAUUUCCUGGACACUUAACACCCAACUCCAACCUUCCCGUUAAGUAUUCAGAAAAUUGCCUUGGCUUGCCUUGUCAGGACCUUGAUAUGAGCAGCAACCUCCACCCCUCACUCCCAUCAACCACACAGAGGGAGUCUGUGCCAGUCAAGAGAGAACACACAGAGAAUGCAGGCAGAACAGCCACGUCCUUAGGCAGGCUACCAUUAGUCCCCGGAGAGUUUAAAACAAGAAGAGAGUGUUUGGGUUCAAAUGAUUUACUCACAUCAUUAGAGAUUGGCCCACUGCCCAUCCAAACUCUGGCAAAACAUGAGCCACGUUCUGACAGGGAUUCAUAGCAAGACAGUGAGUGGCUUAUUUUCGUUUGGUCAGAAAAUGUAAAAGAACAUCUCUCUGGGAAUACCUGUGCACGAGGGAAAUACCAUACCACAUUUUAAAUGCUAGAUUAUAUUUCUACUAGAAAAUAUAGUUGUAAUAAAAAUGAAGCAAUAAUACCUGAAAGAAGAACAAGGUUGCACAGAGCCUUGCAUGCAUGAGCGUGCAAUAAAUAUCUGCUAUAUUAUUCUAUAAUAAUAUAGAUAGUUAAUAAUAUAUCAUAUAUGAUUCUCUUUAUCAAAGUUCUGAUUUAUGACGAAAUCAUUCUAGAGACUUCAGAAUGCUUUGCAUCCCGCAGCAAAUAAAUAAGAGAUAAAAUGUUGACGCAGUGUGUUUUUUAUUAUGCUUUCCCAUCUGUCUCCAUACAAACUCUCCUGUUUGGAUGAUCAUAACAGCCUCCAGACUGGACUUCUUGCCACUAGCUCUGGUCCACGCUCCACGUUGCUAUCAUUUAUUUUUCUAAAACUCCCUUACUUAGUUCAAAUCACAGUUUUGUCUGUUACUAUUUGCGUGAUCUUAAGUAACUUACCUAACCUCUCUGUGCCACGGUUUCAUCAUCUUACAGUGGGAAUAACAGUCCUUACCUCAUACGGUUGGUACAAAGUCUAAAUAGGUUAAUGUACCUAAAAUACUUAGGACAGUGCCCACCACAUUGAAACUGCAGUACAAGUGGUAGCUAUUAUUAUUACAGUUGGAAGCACUAGUUGGCUUCAUGUUGCUCAUGGGAUAAAAUCCAAUUUCUCAACCGAUGUGGGUUUUCCUACUCAGAACUGCCAGUUAUCUUUCCAGACUCAUCCUCUAUCUUUUCCCUCGCUACCUGUCCCCCAAAUUACCUAUCUUCUCGCGUUUCUGCCAAAAUGUACUUUUCUCUUAAGAGCUUCCAUGAAACAGACCUCCAACAACCCUGUCUUUCCAGUCACUUAUUACUGAGUUUCUUUGCACCUGGAAUGUCUUCAUUCUGCCUCUUCAACUGAUAACUCCAACUCAACCUUCAGGACCAUCACCAGUGUGACCCUAUGAAGCUUCCUAGUGCCCUCCAAGAGAAGGUAAUGAGUCUUGGCCUCUAGGUUCAUCCGAGACUUCAUAUCUCUGCGGUGUUAAUGACCUUACUGAAUGCUAUCAUUUACACAUUUACAUAGCUGUCUCUUCCCACAGUAAUUUACGUUCCUGGAGGGCAGGAAAUAUACUCAAAAAGGUGACUAUGCUUUCCAGUGAUUGACAUCGUUUGUGUCCGAUAAAUGGGAAAGAAAUAAACAAAUCAACACAUGAAUCAAUGAGGGGGAAAAGCCAUUCCAAACAGGCAGAAAGAAUUGUCCUGAGAUCUCCACACAGAAGUGAAUGAUGAUCUUCCACCGUUGCUUUAAUGACAAGUGGGCGAGAGUUUGGACCAGAUGACCUAACUCCUGACUCUCAAAUUCUAACAGAAUCUGGAAUAAAGUUUGUGUAUGUGUGUUAGUAUACUUUUGUUAAUAUAAAUAAUAUAAAUGAACUCGAAUUGGACUCUAAUGUUAUCAUUUUGCUUUACACAUUCAAUUUUUAAA